rnacentral:rRNA from 1 species
CAGUAGCCACGGUAAUACGAAGGGUGCAAGCGUUAAUCGGAAUUACUGGGGGUAAAGCGUGCGUAGGCGGUGAGUUAAGUCUGCUGUGAAAUCCCCGGGCUCAACCUGGGAAUGGCAGUGGAUACUGGCUCGCUAGAGUGUGUCAGAGGAUGGUGGAAUUCCCGGUGUAGCGGUGAAAUGCGUAGAGAUCGGGAGGAACAUCAGUGGCGAAGGCGGCCAUCUGGGACAACACUGACGCUGAGGCACGAAAGCGUGGGGAGCAAACAGGAUUAGAUACCCCCGUAGUCCCUGUCUCUUAUAC